rnacentral:lncRNA from 1 species
AGAGAGAUGGCUCUGGUAGCGGUUUGCUGAGCGUUUUGGCAUCUUGUUAUGGUUGCAGUCAUUGUCCUUGGCGGGAAUGACAAAUGCAAAAGCUACAGAAAAGCAUCUUGGGAAGAUGUAAAAGAGGAAGAAUAAGAAAACAGAACUAAUGAAAUGUCCAUUUUGUUGUGGGAUUUUUUUCUUUUGGUCUGGAAAGCAAACCACCCAUUUGUGCCAAGUCACACACCAUAGCCAAGAAUCAAGAGUUGGGGAAUUCAACAGCAUGCACAACAGAGCAGCAAGCAUCAUUGUGAAGCCAGUGCUGCCAAGGAAAGUACUCCCUGAAUCCUUCCACACUGAAUUGGUCCAUAAGUCAUUUUCAGAUAUGUUAUGGCCCUCCUCAACUCAUGUAACCAGAAAAGCAAUUAAACAAAAUCAACUAAGCCAACAGCCAAGCCUGCCAACUUAA